rnacentral:lncRNA from 1 species
GGCAUGCUCCGCAUAGACGAUGGCUUUUGUUGUGCAUAAGAAUGGUCUUCCUAAAAUGAUUGGUGCCUUCUCAUCUACUCCUGUCUCCAUGACCACAAAGUCAACUGGGACAUAUGAUUGCCCCACUCUAAUGACAAAUUCUUCUAAUACUCCCUCGGGGUAGCAAAUGGACUGAUCUGCAAGCUGCAAACACAUAUUUGUGUACAACAAGGAAUCAUUUAAUAUUUUCUCAUAAAUUACCUUGGGCAUGAUGUUGACACUUGCGCCAAAAAAGCUGUGGCAUCCUAUAGAGAUAGGAAUGAUAGGUCUUCCAGGGUCUCCCAUCUUCUCUGAUAGAGAGUGGUCAAUCCACUAUACAUCUAUAGGCUCAAUAUAACAUUAGGUUGCAUUACGAAUAUCAACAAGGUUAGCAGUUUCUAAAUCUUCUGGUUGGCCUAGAAUCUUGCCUUUUUCUAAUGGAGGAACAAUAGGAGCUAAUUGUGCUAACUAUGGUUCUAGCAUUUUAUUGAAACUAUGUUGAUUCUUUAUAGCAGAAGCAAAUGUAUCCAUCCUAGUAUGUAUGUUUUCCAAAGUUUUAUCAUUUGAUGCUAGUUUCCUAGUCAUUUGAUCUAGCAGUUUGGAUUGUUAGCAACUAAUUCUCUUAAAGGCAGAAAAUUAUUAUUAAAAUUAUUACCUUGGUAAUUACUUUGUCGAGGUUGCUGAUUCCAUCCUUGAUUUUGCUGAGGAUGAUAGUUGUUUGUAACACCCAAAAAUUUGCUUUUUAAUUAACAGGAAUUAAUUUGAUUUAAAUAAGUAUUUUUUGUGAGCAUUUAAAUUUAGUACUUAAAUAAUUUUUGGUGGAAAAUAAAAUUCAUCAUAGGUUUAAUAACCUUGAUUGUGCAUUCAUGUCGGAGCAUAAUUAUUUUUGUGCUACGUGUUGUGGUCUAAUUCUUUUAAAAAGGGUUCAAAUUCACUUGUGAAAAUACUUUGGAAAAUAAAAGAAAGAAAAAAAAGAGAAAAGAAAAGAAAACCCCAGCCAACCCCCUAGGCCCAAUCCCCUUCCCCGGCCCAGCUCCCCUCUCCCCCCUUCUCUUCCCCCUCUAGCGCGGCCCAUCUCCCCUCGCGGCCCGGGAACAGCCCAGUGGCCAAAGCCGCGCGCGCACUCCUUCGCAGACUCUGGUGACCGGGCCCCGCCCCCUUCUCCCACCGACAGCACGGCCCCACCCAUCAGCCGACUCCUUCUCCUUCCUUUCUUCUCCACCGUAGCUGAACGGGAGACUCCACCGAACGGGCAGAGAAAUCCCGGUUUCCUUGGGAUCCCUUGCCAAUCUGCGUAUCUGAACCCUAUAAAGUUCCUAGUGAAGCCCCGCGUCUCGGUUUUCCCAUCUACCCGCUUAAAUCGUGCCCAAGCCACUGGUUGCGUCGAGUUUGGGUCUUCACCGGAGAUUUCCUCCGCCGCGACACACGCCCGGCCGUCUCAGUCCCCUCCCGACCCGAGAAACCACCCUAGACGAGUCCGCGAUGAGCGUCUCUUCCUCCCCAUGUGCUCGGUUCGAUUUUUGGCGCAGGAAUUCACGAGAUCGGCAAUCACCGGCGAGCUCCCAGGCUGCGGCAAUGGCGCCGCCGUGCCGGAGCCCUGGAAGCCGGCCGGCCGCCGCUUGCUUUCCCCCCGAAGCGAAUCUCGGCCGUAGGAUCCAAAACCAAGCGCCCUGAUUAGAAGA